GGGGGUAUAGCUCAGUUGGUAGAGCAUCUGAUUUGCAUUCAGAGGGUCUGCGGUUCGAAUCCGCAUGCCUCCA
rnacentral:tRNA from 1 species